GAGGGCGGGGCCACAGGCCCAGCCCCCUGUCCUGGCUCCUCCUCUGCCUCCUGUCCGUCGGCCCGGCGGCCGCCAGCCUCCCGGGGCUGGAGCACGACUACGCCGUCAGCCCCAAGUUUGUGUGCACCCCCAUCCCGCCGGAGGCCGACCCCAGCUGCUACUCCCCGCCCCUGCCCCACGGCGGGGGGGGCGCGGGGCACGGCGGGGGGGGCCACAGUGCCGGGGGUCACGGCGGCGCCGGCCACAACGGCAGCAGCCGGCGUGCGGUGAUGUCGGAGGAGGCGAAGGCCACCAUCCUGCACCUGCGGGAGAGCCUGGUGCGGCAGAAGGAGGUGAUCCUGGACCAGCGCGAGACCAUCCGGGAGCUCACCGCCAAGCUGACGCUGUGCGAGGGCUUCGGAGGACACCAGGGCAUAGGUCACCACGACAACGGGCGCCAUGACAACGGUCACCACAACGAACACAACGAUCGACGCGGUGGUCACCACGGGCCCCACCGUGACCACUACUACCCCCACGGGGGCCACCAUCCCGACCCCCACCACCCAGACCCCCACCACCCAGACCCCCACCACCGUGAACCCCACCACCCAGACCCCCACCACCGUGACCCCCACCACCCAGAACCCCACCACCCAGACCCCCACCACCGAGACCCCCACCACCCAGACCCCCACCACCCCGACCCCCACCACCCCGACCCCCACCACCCAGACCCCCACCACCCCCCCAGGAAGAGCCCCUCCCACAGUAAGCCCAGCUCCUUCUCAGCCGAUCAGACGGCCAAGACCCUGCAGACGCUGAAGGAGAGGCUGGAGAACCUGCAGGUGAGACCAGCACUGGUCCCAGUCCAGUACCCCUGAGACCAGUGGACCACUGGUUGGACCACUGGUUGAUGUGUCUGUGUUCCCAGUGAACCACUGGUGAUGUGUCUGCGUUCCCAGUUAACCACUGGUUGAUGUGUCGGUGUUCCCAGUGGACCACUGGUUGGACCACUGGUUGAUGUGUCUUUGUGUGUCCUGUUCCCAGUGGACCACUGGUUGGACCACUGGUUGAUGUGUCUGUGUGUGUCGUGUUCCCAGUGGACCACUGGUUGGACCACUGGUUGACGUGUCUGUGUGUGUCGUGUUCCCAGUGGACCACUGGUUGGACCACUGGUUGAUGUGUCUGUGUGUCGCGUUCCCAGUGGACCACUGGUUGGACCACUGGUUGAUGUGUCUGUGUGUGUCGUGUUCCCAGUGGACCACUGGUUGGACCACUGGUUGAUGUGUCUUUGUGUGUCGUGUUCCCAGUGGACCACUGGUUGGACCACUGGUUGAUGUGUCUGUGUGUGUCGUGUUCCCAGUGGACCACUGGUUGGACCACUGGUUGAUGUGUCUUUGUGUGUCGUGUUCCCAGUGGACCACUGGUUGGACCACUGGUUGAUGUGUCUUUGUGUGUCGUGUUCCCAGUGGACCACUGGUUGGACCACUGGUUGAUGUGUCUGUGUGUCGUGUUCCCAGUGGACCACUGGUUGGACCACUGGUUGAUGUGUCUUUGUGUGUCGUGUUCCCAGUGGACCACUGGUUGGACCACUGGUUGAUGUGUCUGUUUGUGUCGUGUUCCCAGUGGACCACUGGUUGGACCACUGGUUGAUGUGUCUUUGUGUGUCGUGUUCCCAGUGGACCACUGGUUGGACCACUGGUUGAUGUGUCUUUGUGUGUCGUGUUCCCAGUGGACCACUGGUUGGACCACUGGUUGAUGUGUCUGUUUGUGUCGUGUUCCCAGUGGACCACUGGUUGGACCACUGGUUGAUGUGUCUUUGUGUGUCGUGUUCCCAGUGGACCACUGGUUGGACCACUGGUUGAUGUGUCUUUGUGUGUCGUGUUCCCAGUGGACCACUGGUUGGACCACUGGUUGAUGUGUCUUUGUGUGUCGUGUUCCCAGUGGACCACUGGUUGGACCACUGGUUGAUGUGUCUGUGUGUCGUGUUCCCAGUGGACCACUGGUUGGACCACUGGUUGAUGUGUCUGUGUGUCGCGUUCCCAGUGGACCACUGGUUGGACCACUGGUUGAUGUGUCUUUGUGUGUCGUGUUCCCAGUGGACCACUGGUUGGACCACUGGUUGAUGUGUCUGUGUGUGUCGUGUUCCCAGUGGACCACUGGUUGGACCACUGGUUGAUGUGUCUGUGGGUCGUGUUCCCAGUGGACCACUGGUUGGACCACUGGUUGAUGUGUCUGUGGGUCGUGUUCCCAGUGGACCACUGGUUGGACCACUGGUUGAUGUGUCUUUGUGUGUCGUGUUCCCAGUGGACC
ensembl:lncRNA